UCGUGGUUGUCGAGUAUUUGUCACAAGAUGGCGCCAAACAGACAGUAAUCUUUAUUGAUCUUUAUUGGCGCGGAGCGAUUUUACUCGUGGAAGUAGUCCGGCUAUGCGUUAUUAUUUUGGAGCGGUUAUUAUUCGAAAAGAACGAACCUGCAAUUGUCUCAACUGACCAAUCAGAAUCAAGCAUUCCAGAGAGCCAUGUAAUAAGGUUUGAUAAGAUACUGCCAAGAUGUGCAUGAUGUCAGAAAUUCAGUAUGUGGCCCGAUGCCAGUGGAACUGACACAUGCCGGUUGUAACGCUGUUUGGCGGCAAUUUAAAAAUGUUUAUGCUUCAGACGGACAGUAUACAGUACACGGCCCGAUUCCGUGAUGUGGCAAUCAGCCCUCUAGCUGUUGAACGGCAACAUCACGACUGUUGUUAUGAUUUGAAUCAAGCAGAGCGGAAAGCUGAGCUCGCGUUCGACACAGACACCAUCAUCAAUAACUGGUUAACUGGUUGGGGCUUAUUGGCGGGACAGAUGUACGAGACUGCACAUGGCAUAUAUUGAAGAGGGCGACCGACAACUCCCUGGCUUAAAAACUCAACUGGAUGGAAAAGAUUUUAUUUGCCACCCUCCAAGAUGCAGUUCGGAGAAGGUCCCUAACAGUUGUGGAGGGGACAAUGAAGAGGUGGCUCGAUCAAGAGGAUGGGUGCAAGAGACGACGUUAGCAAAAGGAAAGCAGUUAGUGUAUGUUAGCGCCUGUGUUUGUGUCUGCAAAGGAGAAUGUUUUCUUCUGUAAAAAGAGUGGUGGUGUUUUGGUUAAAUGUGUUUAACUUGUUUUAAUUACUUGGCGUGUGUGUGAGA